rnacentral:lncRNA from 1 species
UUUUGUUUUUUUUUUUGCUUGUGAGAAAUCAUCUGGUUUUAUUGAGAAGCUGUUGGUCAUUUGAUGGAAAGACAUAUAUGGUACACAAUUACAGGUGGUUUAGUUCAUUACAUGAUACAAAUCAUUAGAGUCUUUACAAGUCAUUACAGUCUUUGGAUUUUUUAAACUCCCAUUUACUGUGUACCAAAUCAAUAUAAUCCCAGAAUCAAAGUCACUUCUUUAUAUGUGAACUCCUCGCAUUUACACGAAUCCACACAUAGAGAAGCUGUUCUAAGACCCCCCAACACCAUUAGUGUCAGCAGCCCACCAGGAAGGCACCGCGGACUCUGCAGAGAAAGAUGCUUUGGGGUUCAAUGGGUCAGUAUCUUGGGCAGGAAGCACAGGGUCACUCCCGUCUUGUGUGCGUGCACACAGCCACACACACACACUCAGGACUUCCUGUUUCACAUACAGGGAACUUUUAAGGCAAGAGGAGAAAAUGCUAGGAAGUAACAGGGGGAUCUGAACACCUCCACCGGUCACCGUCCCAGCUCCGUUCUCUUAUUGAACACACAAGGCCCACCUUGGUGGGACCAGAAACACCUUCCCCUCCUCAGCUCCGCCCUCCCACUCCCUCUGGUCAGGCCUGAGCACCCGGGACUCCAGUCACACGCCUGCCCCUGUCCCCUCUGCUGCCGGACGCAGGGCCCUGGGCAGAAGUGAGCCUUCUCACCCUGGAGCCUCCGUCCUUCACAAGGGCCCAAGGGAAGUGGCGGGGCAGGGCCAGGGACGUUCUAGGCACGCAGUGGGGAGGCAGAGCCCCCAGAAGCAUCUCCCAUCCCCAUCUCUGACAGCACCUUGUGUGCGGUUACUGCCCUUCCCGACCUCGGGUGCCAUCUGCGGGCCAACCCGCACUAAGGUGCCACUCCUGGGGCAUUCCAGGAGCGCUUCAGGAGUCCUAAGGCAGGUAGGCGGGCAGGCAUUCUUGGGAGGAGAGUCUGCUGGUCAGGGAGGCAAGAAGUGCAGACUAGAAGACGGAGGCCAGCCCGUCCUGGCCACCACUCUUGAGACCGCACCUCCUGCCAUCGCUGGCCCGGGUUGGCGGGGCUCAAUGCCUUAGUGACCACAGCGCUGCACGUCCCUCUUUCCCAGCCACAAGCUGACAUUAGUCUGCACCGAGAAGCAAGAGUGAACAGGGCCUGGGCCCAAGUCCACCUGCUCCAAUCAGGAACUCUGGCUCGUUCUACUCCACUGUGAGUCAAACCGAUGGUAAAAAGCACGGCACACCCGUCCCCCAGGACUUUCCCGAGACGGUGCCACAGGAGGCCACUGCUGGGUGGAUGGCUCAGCCACCACGAAGUUCCAGGUCCCACCCACACUGCCCAACCGCCAUUCCCAGAGCGUCCCCACUACACAGCCCAGGGGCUCCCCCUCAGGGCAACAGCAGUGCCGGCCUCUCACCCAGGCCACAGUGACACCAGCAGACCCAGAAACCAACUUCUGAGUGAAACGGGUUUUAAAAAGAAAGCUGCUGUGCUGGGAAGCGGGUUGAGUUAAAGGGCAAGGCAGAGGUGACAGCUCUUCAUCCAGGGACAGGUGCCACAGGGUUCCCUCGAAACUCUGGCUAAGAACAGGGAGAGCCCUGCAGGGAGUGCCUCCCCGCAGGGGCCAGGCCCUCUGCCAGCCCGGCCUCGGCCUUCGUGUCCCUCACAGCAACUGGGGAGAAAAAGACAACCUGUCCUCGUAGCCAGGGCUGGGACAGGCCCACCAUGGAGGCCACUCCGUUGGAGGCUUCAAGACCCUGGAGAACGAGGCUUCCACAGCGCUUUCUAGGUGUUGUCUAAACAUGAGAACUAGAAACCAGCUCCAAGAGUGGCUGUAUGAAUCCUGACCCAGGGCUCCUGUCCCUCGAUUGGUGGCCUUCCACACACAGACACUAACCGCCACCCCACAAACCUGCCACCAAAGGCUCCAGGAGCAGAAGUGCCCCAGCAAGGAGGUGGAGGCCACCCUGGAAGCUUCCGGCUGUGUCGCCCGCACCAUGCACAGUGGGCCUGGGGGCGCAGCUGCUGCCAGGGUCCGGACACAAACCAGGCACACUCCCUGUACCCGCCCAGCCGCCAAGUCCCAGCCCUAUACUCUCAGGGUCUGGGAGUUGCCAAGAAGUUAAAAUGAUCCAAAGACCUUCCUAGAAACCAAAA